AGUUCCCAGGUAUCGUCCGCUAGUGACAGUCUGCUGGCAAAUCCAGGCAUGCGAUGGAAGGAUGCUGAUGUGAAGGACACAGGGACACCUGAUCCAAGAACUGUGGCAUUUCAUUCAGAGUGACAACCUGACAUUCAGUUGAUAUGGGACCCGAUUAUUCAGAGAACUGCAUAUUUUAGGAAGCUGUUUUUGACAGAAGAUUUGGUUUUCUCCAUCUGUAUUGCCACCAACCAUUAUGCUGAGAUGGUCAUAUCUAGGGGGAAGGAUUGUCAUUAUGCUUCCCAAGGAAGUUCGCAUCCUCUCACUGAAGAGGAAUUGUACAGGUAUUACUAGUUUUAAAGUACCGAUAUUGUGACAGUGAAUUUCAAUUUAAAACGAAUAAUAAAAUGCAUAAUAAAAAGAUUAUCUUUACCAAGUUUAAUCUUGCUGUGCGUCUAACACAUUUAUUAAAUGUGUACUACAAUUACCUCUGAUAAAAUUUCAUAAGUAAUUAAUGCAUACUAGUAAUUUUCAGAGGGCCUUGACUAUAGAAAACAUUUACAGAGCCAAUUGAUCAUUCAAAAGCUCUGACAAUACAUUAGUAUUUAGGGCUGAGUAUUAAGAAAUUCUUCUUUUCCAGAUUUUUGUGCAUUAUCUUAUACAUGUUUGCUUUGAAGUUUCAGUCGAUAGACAGAUAUUGGUCAAUGCAUGCCCCUAUCGGAACAACCCAGUACAGUGUAUCAGGAAUGAUGUCUAGAAAUAAGUUUUAAGAGGUUGAAUAUAAGAACAUUUUUGUUAAAUAUGAUGCAAGUACAUUUAAAUCUAGUGAUUGAAAGUAAGUACUUGAACAUUCGUAUACGUUGAACUUGCAGAGGAAAAACGGGUAGUACUUUUUGAUAACAUUUGAUAAGGUGCUGUAACUGCUGUUGCUUAGCAACCAAAUAUAUUUGAAUGCAAAAAAUUAAAUUAUUUUAGAUGAACAAUAAAGAUCUUUGUUUUAAUGUUGCAAUAUUUAUUCUAUUUAGUGGAACAUAAUGGCAAAACGUCAUAUUAUUACAAAAUGAUGGAUAUGUACAAUAUAUAUAAAGUACAAAGUUUCCAUUUUAUUACCUUUAACCUUAAUUCUCGUCAUCAUAUUUUUGUUAAAAACCUUUUAAAAUGAUUAAGAUUUAUUUAAAGAUUAUAUUUUUAAAAUAAUGUGACAUUUACUAAUCAUCAUUCAAUGUAAUUGUGUUUAAAUUGUGUCAAAUGUAUGUAGAAAGGCAAAUUAUGGUCAAAAUUGUACUACGAGUGUUGUUACUUAGCAACCAAAAAUAUUUGUUUGGCAAUAAAAUUGAUUAAUUUGAUCGUGAUGCGUUUGUAGUAAUUUCAAAGGCACAUCAGCUCAUAGAUUUAGAAUUUCCUAUUUUUGACUCCAAUCUAGUGUGAGGGGUCGUAAUAUAUAUAUUUCAGAGAAAAAAAAUUGCAAAAAUGUGCACAUAUAUGACCUUUGACCCCGUAGAUGUCUUUGAGGUCAUGGGAUACCUUGACAAACUUUAUAAGACAUUAUUUCCUGUCCAAUUCCUAACAAAAUUAUAUGUCAUAUGUCUAUCCUAAAUCGUGAUACAUGCAGAUUUUAUUCGAUGUAAAAAUAUUGUCAUUUAGUCUUUAAAAACCUCUAAAAUGUGUCGGUAGAGAAAGGUUUACAUUUAAUAUCAAGUUGAAAAACGAACAACAGAGUAAACAUCAUUUCUGCAACCAUAUGGUCUUCCUUUCUUUGUCGGAGUGGCUCAAGUAACUACAUUUUCGCGCAGAUUCCCAAUGUUUAGGUUUUUCAAUAGAUCCACCUACGAGAUAUCGCGAUAACAUGCAUGGCGGAGCCGACGAAGAAUUUUGCAUGCUGUACAUGAUGUUUAAUGAAAAACACCUUUAUUAGACAUGCCCGAGCACAAAGUUGGUACUCCUUGUGGUGUAAACAACAUUUGGGACUAAAACACGGAGCUUAUUAUCGGUUAUUCAUAAAAUUACUUCGCACCUUUACGGAGAUCCUAUGGAAUUAUAGCCCUAUCCCGAAAACAUCAGAAUAAAAAAAAUCGAAUAGGACUACAUUAUUGCAGCAUACAUGUAUGUCAAAUAAUAAUAGAAAGAAACAAACAAACAACUGGACAAAAAAAAGAAAAAUACACAUAACCACAUACACUAAGUAACAAGUGUCACAGAUAUUCAUGUCAAAACACACUAAUAAUACACAUAACCACAUACACUAACUAACAAGUGACACAGAUAUUCAUGUCAAAAUAAACUAAUAAUGCAGGUCUAUGAAACACUUUACAUCCAUUUCAUCCAUUCAUCACCUCACCAGAAAUUAUUUAAAUAAGUAUGACUUGUAAUACAGAAUCCAGUGCAAAAUUAUCUGUACAUAGCAAUCAAACCAUGAAAGUGGACUUCUUUUUUUGUAAUCCAUAAUGAAGUUGAUUUUAAUUCAAAAUCAGGUUACCCCCCGUUCACACAUAGACGCCGCUUCUACUACGAUCAAAGCGUGGCCGAAAACGUGGCCGAUCGUGACAAAUCGCAGGAGAAACGUAGUGGAGUCUUCAUAAGCGCAGUAUGAUCGUGGUAGGGUCUUCAUGAUCGGAGAGCUCUACGCUCUCGCCACGCUUAUUUUGAACAUGCUCAAAACAAGCGUAGCGGGAUCGUGGCCAACAAGAAUCGGUGUAAAGUCGUAAAAAGAGCGUAGUAGAAGCGCCGUAAUCGUACAAGCAGCGCGGAAGCAUCGUGGAGAGAUCUUCAUGAUCGUAGUAAAAGCGCAGUAAAAGCGUAGUACAGUCGGGAACUUAUCAAGUACGCUCCUACAACGCUCCCACUACGUUCUUACUACGUUCCCACUACGAUCUCUCUACGUUCCUGACGAUCCUACGAAGACCUACAAUGACCUUACGCCGAUCAUACCACGACCUAUCAGGCAGCAGUUUGUUUUUGUAUCCUUUUGCAAAAACAUACAUAAUAGAACUGUACUUUAAUUCACAAAUAUCUGCAGAGAAUUUUGCACAAUCUUAACUUAAUCACAAAUUGCAGCUGGAAAAACAUUGAUAUUCAAACAAUCACUACACAAAUGCCAUCUGAGUUCGCAAACAGUAAUUGUAAAACGUUACUCCAAACAGAUGUUUAUUCGUUAUUACUUGAUUAUAUCGCACAUAUACUGCUUAAAAUGUCCAACACUGUACAUAAUGACACAUACUAGUGGGGAAUCAUUCUUUCCUGUCAUGGUACCGAUCCUACCGGGCUGUUAAACUAGAGUUUAAGUAGUUCCCUUUGUUUCUUCCCAGC